GGAAGAGUGGCAGAGUGGCCGAAUGCGUCUGUCUCGAAAACAGAUUCACUAGCGAUAGUGACGUAGGUUCGAAUCCUACCUCUUCCG
rnacentral:tRNA from 1 species